CGCUAACACUCCUACGGGAGGCAGCAGUGGGGAAUAUUGCACAAUGGGCGCAAGCCUGAUGCAGCCAUGCCGCGUGUAUGAAGAAGGCCUUCGGGUUGUAAAGUACUUUCAGCAGUGAGGAAGGUGGAGUCGUUAAUAGCGGCCUCAUUUGACGUUAGCUGCAGAAGAAGCACCGGCUAACUCCGUGCCAGCAGCCGCGGUAAUACGGAGGGUGCGAGCGUUAAUCGGAAUUACUGGGCGUAAAGCGCAUGCAGGUGGUUUGUUAAGUCAGAUGUGAAAGCCCGGGGCUCAACCUCGGAAUUGCAUUUGAAACUGGCAGACUAGAGUACUGUAGAGGGGGUAGAAUUUCAGGUGUAGCGGUGAAAAUGCGUAGAGAUCUGAAGGAAUACCGGUGGCGAAGGCGGCCCCCUGGACAGAUACUGACACUCAGAUGCGAAAGCGUGGGGAGCAAACAGGAUUAGAUACCCUGGUAG
rnacentral:rRNA from 1 species